CAGCCCACUCCAUUGUUCUUGCCUGGAGAAUCCCAGGGACGGGGAGCCUGGUGGGCUGCCGUCUAUGGGGUCACACAGAGUCGGACACAACUGAAGUGACUUAGCAGCAGCAGCAGAAAGAGUCCCUAAUCAAAGAGUUCCCAGCUUUGGAAGGGGCUGAUGGGCCCUGGCCCCAGGAAGUAAAGGAGAAAUCCAGCUCUCUACAACGUUCUGGACUUGUGAGGACAGUCAUCUUGUCACCCAAUCCAUGUAGGUCCAGCUGCUCGCCUCUCAAAAGCCAUUAAAGAGCCCAGGCCCAAGAAUGUUUCUGUAAAAUAUUCAUGAAAACAUAGACAUUGUUAAGCAUCUUUGCCUCCUGAAGAAGGAAAAUGAGAAAAUCUGGGAAGAAGGAUGGAGCCCAAA